rnacentral:lncRNA from 1 species
AAGAAGGAAAAUGAAUUCUCUUUUUCUUAUUAUCAGAAACUUCUAAUUACAUGUCUAAUAUAUCAAAAAUGAAAGUAAUUGGGUCACUUACUACAAUUGGGCCAUCUUUCUGAAACACUAGUUAAGACGAAGAAGCAUUUGAAUUAUCUGUAUGUAUUUUGCCUUGUGAAAUUGCUUUGUUUCUGCCAGUUGCUAUUGCUAUAGUUGAAAGAACUUUUUCGGUAAUGAAAUUCAUCAAGAGUGAAUUAUGAAACCUAAUGAAUGACAAAUUCAUAAGUGGUUG